AUUUUUUUUAUUAAUAUUAAUUUUUUUAUUUGGAAUUUUUAUAAAAAUAUUUUAAUUAUUUAAAGUUUUAGUAUUUAUUAAAAAUUAAUUUUUAGUUUUAUAGUUUAAUAGUAUUGUAUAAGAAAUUAAUUAUAUUUAUAAAGAAUUUUAUUUAGUACCUUUUGUAUCAGGGUUAAUUAAAAUUUUUAAAUUUAUUUUAAUUUCUCACAAUUUAUGGGGUUAAUUUUAUUAUUAAGUUAUUGUAGUAAAAAUAUUUAUAAAAUAAUUUUAGUUUGAAAUUUAAUUCGUUAUAUUAUAUUUAGUUAUUUAAGAUUUAAAUUUAAUUUAAAAUUUUAAAAGUUAGUUUGAUUUUUUUUAUUAAUAUUUUAAAUUUAAAUUAUUUUAGGGAUAAGCUUGAAAUUUUAAUAUAAUAUUUAUAUUAAUUUAAUAAUUUAUAGGAAUAGAAAUUUUUAUUUUAAGUUUGUAACAAUUUGUUAUUUGAUUUAAUUAAAUUUAUUAUAAUUUGUUUAUUUUUAAUAUUAAAUUUUAUGAAUUAAUAUUUAAUUUAUAGUAAUAAUGAUUAAAUUAGUAUAUUUAAUAAAUAUAAAUUAUGAAUUAGGCAAUAUUUAUUUUCAUCUGUUUAACAAAAACAUUGUAUUAAGUUUAAUUUAAUAUAGGAUCUGCUCAAUGAUUAAAUUAAAUAGCUGCAGUAUUUUGACUGUGCAAAGGUAGCAUAAUAAUUAGUCUUUUAAUUGUGGACUAGAAUGAAAGAUUUGAUGAGAAAUAAACUUUAUUAUUUAUAUAAUUAGAAUUUUAUUUUUGAGUAAAAAGGCUUAAAUAUUUUAAAGGGACGAUAAGACCCUAUAAAACUUUAUAAUUAAUAAUUUUUGAAUUUUUUGGUUUAUUAUAUUUAUAUAUAAAUAAGUAUUUAAAUUUUUUUUAAUUAUUUUAUUGGGGUGAUAAAAAAAUUUAAUAAACUUUUUUUAAAUUUAACAUUAUUAAGUGGUAAGUUGAAUUAAAAUUUUUAAUUAAAGGAAAAAGUUACUUUAGGGAUAACAGCGUAAUUAAUUUUUUAAGUUCAAAUUUAAAAAUUAGGUUGCGACCUCGAUGUUGAAUUAAGAUUAAUCUUAGGUGCAAAAUUUUAAGUAUUAGGUCUGUUCGACCUUAAAUCUACA
rnacentral:rRNA from 1 species